UUCCUAUGCAUAUACCUCUUUGACAUGCUGCUUUAAAGAGGCAUAGGGCAUGGGAAAA
rnacentral:pre_miRNA from 3 species